rnacentral:rRNA from 1 species
GCACGCCUGCCUGGGGGUCACGCAUCGGGGUCGCCCCCCUCCCCCCCGCCCCCACGGAACGGGGGGGGGCGGGGGGCGGAAAAAUGGCUUCCCGUGGGGCUCCCCGUCGUGGGGGCCGGCCCAAAAUGGCAAUCCCCCGGGGGGGCGCCGGUCGGGACCAGGGGGGGGUUGAAACUUU